rnacentral:rRNA from 1 species
GACGAACGCUGGCGGCGUGCUUAACACAUGCAAGUCGAACGGUGAAGCGCCUUCCUUUUUGGUGGGUGUGGAUGAGUGGCGAACGGGUGAGUAACACGUGAGUAACCUGCCCCCUUCUUCUGGAUAACCGCAUGAAAGUGUGGCUAAUACGGGAUAUUCUGGGUCUGUCGCAUGAUGGGUCUGGGAAAGAUAUUGUUUCGGUGGGGGAUGGGCUCGCGGCCUAUCAGCUUGUUGGUGGGGUGAUGGCCUACCGAGGCGGUGACGGGUAGCCGGCCUGAGAGGGUGGACGGUCACACUGGGACUGGGACACGGCCCAGACUCCUACGGGAGGCAGCAGUGGGGAAUAUUGCACAAUGGGCGCAAGCCUGAUGCAGCGACGCCGCGUGAGGGAUGGAGGCCUUCGGGUUGUGAACCUCUUUCGCCAGUGAAGCAGGCCUGCCUCGUUUGUGGGUGGGUUGACGGUAGCUGGAUAAGAAGCGCCGGCUAACUACGUG